rfam:Picea glauca, whole genome shotgun sequence.
AUGUAAUGUAAUUCAUGGAACAUUAAUGCACAAGAUCUCAUUAGAACUCAAUAGUUAAAUGCUCUUUGGCUACAAUACUAGUAGGAUGAGUGACCUCCCAAGAAUUCCUAGUGUUUUACAUG